UGGUCGUAUGUGUGACGUCAUUUAGUUCAGUGGUGGGAGUGACAUCAUAUGUACGGCUGCU
ensembl:miRNA gmo-mir-489 gmo-mir-489